rnacentral:rRNA from 1 species
AGCACCUCAAGUGGUCAGGAGGAUUAUUGGGCCUAAAGCAUCCGUAGCCUGCUUUGUUAGUUUUCGGUUAAAUCCAUAUGCUCAACAUAUGGGCUGCCGGGAAUACUGCAUAGCUAGGGAGUGGGAGAGGUAGACGGUACUCCGUAGGAAGGGGUAAAAUCCUUUGAUCUAUGGAUGACCACCUGUGGCGAAGGCGGUCUACCAGAACACGUCCGACGGUGAGGGAUGAAAGCUGGGGGAGCAAACCGGAUUAGAUACCCGGGUAGUCCCAGCUGUAAACUAUGCAAACUCAGUGAUGCAUUGGCUUGUGGCCAGUGCAGUGCCGCAGGGGAAGCCGUUAAGUUUGCCGCCUGGGAAGUACGUACGCAAGUAUG